UACGAAGGUCCCAAGCGUUAUCCGGAUUUAUUGGGUUUAAAGGGUGCGUAGGCGGCUUAUUAAGUCAGUGGUGAAAGCCCCAAGCUUAACUUGGGAAUUGCCAUUGAUACUGAUGAGCUUGAGUAGAUUUGGAGGCGGGCGGAAUGUGUCGUGUAGCGGUGAAAUGCUUAGAUAUGACACAGAACACCGAUUGCGUAGGCAGCUCGCUAAACUCUUACU
rnacentral:rRNA from 1 species